AGUAAAUACAAUAUGUUGAUUUGGUGUGUAAAUGGAUAGUGAUGUAACU
rnacentral:guide_RNA from 1 species